rnacentral:rRNA from 1 species
AACGUAGGAGACAAACGUUAUCCGGAGUUACUGGGCGUAAAGGGCGUGUAGGUGGUUUUGUAAGUCUGGCGUGAAAUUUUUCGGCUUAACCGGGAAAGGUCGUCGGAUACUGCAGAACUAGAGGACGGUAGAGGCGUGUGGAAUUCCGGGUGUAGUGGUGAAAUGCGUAGAGAUCCGGAGGAACACCAGUGGCGAAGGCGGUCUGCUGGGCAGUUUCUGACACUGAUGCGCGACAGCGUGGGGAGCAAACAGG